rnacentral:rRNA from 1 species
UGUGUAGGCGGUUUUCUAAGUUUGGUGUGAAAUCUCCCGGCUUAACUGGGAGGGUGCGCCGAAAACUGGAAGGCUUGAGUGCCGGAGAGGAUAGCGGAAUUCCUGGUGUAGCGGUGAAAUGCGUAGAUAUCAGGAGGAACACCUGCGGUGUAGACGGCUAUCUGGACGGCCACUGACGCUGAGACACGAAAGCGUGGGUAGCAAACAGGAUUAGAUACCCUGGUAGUCCACGCCCUAAACGAUGCAUACUUGGUGUGAGCCAUUCAUUUGGUUCGUGCCGGAGCUAACGCGUUAAGUAUGCCGCCUGGGGAGUACGGUCGCAAGGCUGAA